rnacentral:rRNA from 1 species
CCUACGGGAGGCUGCAGUGAGGAAUAUUGGUCAAUGGGCGCGAGCCUGAACCAGCCAAGUCGCGUGAGGGAAGACGGCCCUACGGGUUGUAAACCUCUUUUGCCGGGGAGCAACGGGCGCCACGUGUGGCGCCACGGAGAGGACCCGGAGAAAAAGCAUCGGCGAACUCCGGGCCAGCAGCCGCGGUAAUAAGGAGGAUGAGAGCGUGAGCCGGGUUGAUUGGGUUUAACGGGUGCGUAGGCGGAGCGUUAAGUCAGUGGUCAAAUUGAGGGGCUCACCCCCUUCCCGCCAUUGAAACUGGCGCUCUUGAGUGGAAGAGAAGUAUGCGGAAUGCGUGGUGUAGCGG